rnacentral:rRNA from 2 species
CGUGCCUAAUACAUGCAAGUCGAACGAACUCUGGUAUUGAUUGGUGCUUGCAUCAUGAUUUACAUUUGAGUGAGUGGCGAACUGGUGAGUAACACGUGGGAAACCUGCCCAGAAGCGGGGGAUAACACCUGGAAACAGAUGCUAAUACCGCAUAACAACUUGGACCGCAUGGUCCGAGUUUGAAAGAUGGCUUCGGCUAUCACUUUUGGAUGGUCCCGCGGCGUAUUAGCUAGAUGGUGGGGUAACGGCUCACCAUGGCAAUGAUACGUAGCCGACCUGAGAGGGUAAUCGGCCACAUUGGGACUGAGACACGGCCCAAACUCCUACGGGAGGCAGCAGUAGGGAAUCUUCCACAAUGGACGAAAGUCUGAUGGAGCAACGCCGCGUGAGUGAAGAAGGGUUUCGGCUCGUAAAACUCUGUUGUUAAAGAAGAACAUAUCUGAGAGUAACUGUUCAGGUAUUGACGGUAUUUAACCAGAAAGCCACGGCUAACUACGUGCCAGCAGCCGCGGUAAUACGUAGGUGGCAAGCGUUGUCCGGAUUUAUUGGGCGUAAAGCGAGCGCAGGCGGUUUUUUAAGUCUGAUGUGAAAGCCUUCGGCUCAACCGAAGAAGUGCAUCGGAAACUGGGAAACUUGAGUGCAGAAGAGGACAGUGGAACUCCAUGUGUAGCGGUGAAAUGCGUAGAUAUAUGGAAGAACACCAGUGGCGAAGGCGGCUGUCUGGUCUGUAACUGACGCUGAGGCUCGAAAGUAUGGGUAGCAAACAGGAUUAGAUACCCUGGUAGUCCAUACCGUAAACGAUGAAUGCUAAGUGUUGGAGGGUUUCCGCCCUUCAGUGCUGCAGCUAACGCAUUAAGCAUUCCGCCUGGGGAGUACGGCCGCAAGGCUGAAACUCAAAGGAAUUGACGGGGGCCCGCACAAGCGGUGGAGCAUGUGGUUUAAUUCGAAGCUACGCGAAGAACCUUACCAGGUCUUGACAUACUAUGCAAAUCUAAGAGAUUAGACGUUCCCUUCGGGGACAUGGAUACAGGUGGUGCAUGGUUGUCGUCAGCUCGUGUCGUGAGAUGUUGGGUUAAGUCCCGCAACGAGCGCAACCCUUAUUAUCAGUUGCCAGCAUUAAGUUGGGCACUCUGGUGAGACUGCCGGUGACAAACCGGAGGAAGGUGGGGAUGACGUCAAAUCAUCAUGCCCCUUAUGACCUGGGCUACACACGUGCUACAAUGGAUGGUACAACGAGUUGCGAACUCGCGAGAGUAAGCUAAUCUCUUAAAGCCAUUCUCAGUUCGGAUUGUAGGCUGCAACUCGCCUACAUGAAGUCGGAAUCGCUAGUAAUCGCGGAUCAGCAUGCCGCGGUGAAUACGUUCCCGGGCCUUGUACACACCGCCCGUCACACCAUGAGAGUUUGUAACACCCAAAGUCGGUGGGGUAACCUUUUAGGAACCAGCCGCCUAAGGUGGGACAGAUGAUUAGGGUGAAGUCGUAACAAGGUAGCCGUAGGAGAACCU